GGACUACACGGGUAUCUAAUCCCGUUCGCUCCCCUGGCUUUCGCGCCUCAGCGUCAGUAGAGAUCCAGCAGCCCGCUUUCGCCACCGGCGUUCCUUCCGAUAUCAACGCAUUUCACCGCUCCACCGGAAGUUCCGGCUGCCCCUACCUCCCUCAAGAUCUCCAGUAUCCAAGGCACUUUUCCGGUUAAGCCGAAAGCUUUCACCCCGGACUUGGAGAUCCGCCUACGCGCCCUUUAAGCCCAGUGAUUCCGAACAACGUUCGCACGGUUCGUCUUACCGCGGCUGCUGGCAC
rnacentral:rRNA from 1 species